AACAAACGCUGGCGGCGUGCCUAACACAUGCAAGUCGUACGAGAAAGGGUCCUUCGGGGCCUGAGUAAAGUGGCGCACGGGUGAGUAACGCGUGGAUAAUCUGCCCUUCAGUUGGGAAUAACUCAUCGAAAGGUGGGCUAAUACCGAAUAAUGCUGUGAGACCUCGGUUGAUCAGCCAAAGAGAGCCUCUGCUUGCAAGCCCUCGCUGAAGGAUGAGUCCGCGUACCAUUAGCUAGUUGGUAGGGUAAUGGCCUACCAAGGCGACGAUGGUUAGCUGGUCUGAGAGGAUGAUCAGCCACACUGGAACUGAGACACGGUCCAGACUCCUACGGGAGGCAGCAGCGAGGAAUCUUGCGCAAUGGGGGCAACCCUGACGCAGCAACGCCGCGUGAGUGAGGAAGGUCUUCGGAUCGUAAAGCUCUGUCGGAUGGAAAGAACCGCAUAGGGGUAAACAGCCCCUGUGUCUGACGGUACCAUCAAAGGAAGCACCGGCUAACUCCGUGCCAGCCGCCGCUGUAAUAC
rnacentral:rRNA from 1 species